rnacentral:rRNA from 1 species
AACGCGAAGAACCUUACCCAGGUUUGACAUGCAGAGGACAGCGCCAGAAACGGCGCCUCCCUUAGGGGCCUCUGCACAGGUGCUGCAUGGCUGUCGUCAGCUCGUGCCGUGAGGUGUUGGGUUAAGUCCCGCAACGAGCGCAACCCUUAUCAUUAGUUGCCAACACGUAAUGGUGGGAACUCUAAUGAGACUGCCUGGGUUAACCAGGAGGAAGGUGAGGAUGACGUCAAGUCCGCAUGGCCCUUAUAUCUGGGGCUACACACGUGCUACAAUGGUCGGUACAGAUGGCAGCGAAGCCGCGAGGUGAAGCAAAUCCCAAAAAACCGAUCUCAGUUCAGAUUGUAGUCUGCAACUCGACUACAUGAAGACGGAAUUGCUAGUAAUGGCGUGUCAGCAACAACGCCGUGAAUACGUUCCCGGGCCUUGUACACACCGCUCGCGA